AGUGAACGCUGGCGGUAGGCCUAACACAUGCAAGUCGAACGGCAGCACAGUAAGAUCUUGCUCUUACGGGUGGCGAGUGGCGGACGGGUGAGGAAUACAUCGGAAUCUACUUUUUCGUGGGGGAUAACGUAGGGAAACUUACGCUAAUACCGCAUACGACCUACGGGUGAAAGCAGGGGAUCUUCGGAGCGUGCGGGAUUGAAUGAGCCGAUGUCGGGUUAGCUAGUUGGCGGGGUAAAGGCCCACCAAGGCGACGAUCCGUAGCUGGUCUGAGAGGAUGAUCAGCGACACUGGAACUGAGCCACGGUCCAGACUCCUACGGGAGGCAGCAGUGGGGAAUAUUGGACAAUGGGCGCAAGCCUGAUCCAGCCAUACCGCGUGUGUGAAGAAGGCCUUCGGGUUGUAAAGCCCUUUUGUUGGGAAAGAACAGCAGCAGCUUAAUACCCCGCUGUUCUGACGGUACCCAAAGAAUAAGCACCGGCUAACUUCGUG
rnacentral:rRNA from 1 species